UACGGAGGAUGCAAGCGUUAUCCGGAAUGAUUGGGCGUAAAGCGUCCGCAGGUGGCUGUGUAAGUCUGCUGUCAAAGAGCGAAGCUCAACUUCGUAAAGGCAGUGGAAACUACACGGCUAGAGUGCGUUCGGGGCAGAGGGAAUUCCUGGUGUAGCGGUGAAAUGCGUAGAGAUCAGGAAGAACACCGGUGGCGAAGGCGGCUAUCUGGACAGAAACUGACGCUGAGGCGCGAAAGCUAGGGGAGCAAACAGG
rnacentral:rRNA from 1 species